rnacentral:lncRNA from 1 species
CAGUGCUGGAGCAGGAGGUUAUCUUCUCAAUUACUCUGCAGCUCCAGUCUGAGAUAAGAACUAAAUGUCCUCUUCUGCUUUUAGAUGCUUGUACACACAGCACAGCACCAGUAUUCCCCAGAAUGCUGCUUCAAAAGUAUUGGGCUAGAGCAAGCGAACAAAAACGAGCACUCUUUCUUCAAAGCCAUGCAAAACACAUUCAGGGUAACAGAUGCUUUAGAGAAUAAGCAGGGUACCAGAUGGCAAAGUAAAAGAUGGGACAAGAAGAGUAAUCUGCUGUAAAGAAGACAUCCAGCUAUGCGCCUGAUGUCCAGGCAAAUCCUGGAUUGCAACUUACAAUCCGUGCAUUCUCCUUUGUUAUUGUUCCUUCUCAAAACAUCUCAAAAAGGAGAGGGCUGCAGGCUUCCAUGAAACAACACCUUUCCAAGCAGAGAAAUCCAUUCAACUGCAUUGCAAGAGGACCAACAGUCACCAUUUCCAGAGUCACUGCACAACAUGUAUCCGAGACCCCACCACUCCUGUACUGGCUUGCAGAGCUGCUGCCUUGUGAAGCAACAAAAGGAGCUGCAGGAAAAUACUGCAUUCGAGACAGAAGUGAGAAUAGCUGUCCAGCAAAGGUUGCCCAACGCUUUCAACACCAAGGGCCAUAAUGGACCUAACAACCUAAUUUGCGAAUAUUAUUUUGUAAAUUUCAUCUCUGCGUGCUUGACAUCAUUUGAUACCUUUUCCUUCGUAGCAUUGAACAAUAUGAGAUCAAAUGUGUUAAAUACGUUAUGAAUAAUGUAAGACGUUCUUAUUUUUUCCCAACCAUAAAAACUUUAGAAAUGUAAGCACAUUAAAAAUGCUAAAAUGACAAUCAGGCCUAGUUUCUUGUUCUUCACAAUGUUUUUGUCUUGUCUUUAGUCCUUUUUUUUUUUUUUUUUNUAACAAAUGAACCCCAUUUUAAUGUUCC